rnacentral:tRNA from 1 species
GCUGAUGUAGCUCAGUGGUAGAGCACUCCCUUGGUAAGGGAGAGGUCGAGAGUUCAAGCCUCUCCAUCAGCU